rnacentral:rRNA from 1 species
UACGGAGGAUGCAAGCGUUCUCCGGAAUGAUUGGGCGUAAAGCGUCCGCAGGUGGCUAUGUAAGUCUGCUGUUAAAGAGUGAGGCUCAACCUCAUAAGAGCAGUGGAAACUACAUGGCUAGAGUGCGUUCGGGGCAGAGGGAAUUCCUGGUGUAGCGGUGAAAUGCGUAGAGAUCAGGAAGAACACCGGUGGCGAAAGCGCUCUGCUAGGCCGCAACUGACACUCAUGGACGAAAGCUAGGGGAGCGAAUGGG